rnacentral:lncRNA from 1 species
GGGAAUAUCUCCCAAGUAAGUUCUUUUUCUGCCUCAGGCUGGUGAGGACUUUCACAAUUUUUCAAAGUACAAAAACAGGUAAUUCUGGCCAGAAUAAAUGAUAAGAAAGUGAACUGUUUUAGGCAAAACUUCCUUUUACAAAGCUUAGAAAGGGAAAGACCAAUUCUAAAAAAGGACAAAAGAGCGUUGAACUUCAAUUUUUGCAUGGACAGCUGCUUUUGAUCCGGACUGGACUGGGUAUGUCUGUGCUGGAUUGGACCAUCAACACCUUCAACUGUCAAGUUUCAGCUGUAAAUUGAUACCAACGUUCGAGUUUGGCAGAGCUUUAAUCUAUUUCAAGCCCUGGAAGGCUUCUUGAACAGGCAGAAUUGGAGCCUUUUCAGUCUAAAAUGGGCAGAAGUGGUUGGAUUUGAUGAUUACUGAGCUGGAACUGCACUAUAGUAUCUGUUCUACUUGAUCAGGGCUUUCCAUAAAUUUAUUGAGGUUUUCAUAUUUGUAAAAACCCGGGCUCUGCUUGAUUUGGCUUAUGCUGAACCAAAUUUAUCACGAAAGGAAUCUUGCUUUGAAG